UCAGGCCUAACACAUGCAAGUCGAGGGGCAGCAUAAAACAAGCUUGCUUGUUUGGUGGCGACCGGCGCACGGGUGCGUAACGCGUAUGCAACCUACCUUAUACAGGGGUAUAGCCCGGAGAAAUUCGGAUUAAUCCCCCAUAGUACUGAGCCACCGCAUGGUGAAUCAGUUAAAGUUUCGGCGGUAUAAGAUGGGCAUGCGUCCUAUUAGCUAGAUGGUAAGGUAACGGCUUACCAUGGCUACGAUAGGUAGGGGGCCUGAGAGGGUGGUCCCCCACACUGGUACUGAGACACGGACCAGACUCCUACGGCAGGCGGCAGUAAGGAAUAUUGGUCAAUGGGCGCAAGCCUGGCAAGGCCAUGCCGCGUGCAGGAAGAAUGCCCUAUG
rnacentral:rRNA from 1 species